rnacentral:lncRNA from 1 species
GGGGUUACAGAAUGCGACAGCUGCGAGUUGAGGGGGGCACACGGCGUGUCCAGCAAAUGGCACGGCUACGGACGGGCAUCUGUGCGGCAAGGCGCGGCCUCACAGGCGCCCAGACAGGAAUAAGGCAGUGAUGAGUUCCAAAUGCCACCUACCACUUGCCAGCCAGAUGCCUCGCACGUGCCGUGUCUGUUGGUUGUGCUGCUGCUUGCUGCCUAGCUCAGCCCGGGCGUGAUGUGCGUACGGCUGUAAUUUUGAGUGACGAGGGCACAUAAGGAAGUAGGUUCGAGUCGUGAGCAUGGCCCAGACAAGCAGAAGGACGUGUGACUGGGUUUAAGAGACCACGCCUGAUCCUGCGUUGUCUGCGCGUGUCCGUGACACGGUGACAGUCGCGGAUAGCGAGGGUGCUGUAAGGAAACCCACAUGCUGAGCAUCAGGACGUCGACCUGCUUGCCCUGCGGCACUAGCAGUUGCUUAGUACGUGCGCUGUACGUAUGUGCUGCGGCCUGGACGAUUCCCGGCACUCCGGUGCCUAGGCUUGUGGCAUUGAGGCACAGCGGUGGGGCUCUGGCGGGUUGAGGCUUGGCUAGGACUCACUGUGCGCGGAGUCACAGGGACUUUGACCGCGGGAGGGUAUGCAGCAAAGUCGGUGUGUGAUGGGACAGGGUUCAGGCAGGUUGGCGAGGUCCCAUAGGGUGCAGCUGUCGCCCAUACCCCAAGCAGACAGCAAACAGUUUGCAGCGGCAGAGCAGGAGUGCAUGGCUGGUCGAACGCCGGAGUUACUGUACCGGGGACCAGGGACUUUGACCGCGGGAGGGUAUGCAGCAAAGUCGGGGUUGGUGGAGUCAAGUUGGGCCCUGAUAGCAUGUGAUGGCUCGGCGUCUUCGGGUGCUGGGACUGUCCCCUCUGUAACAUCCGCAUUCUUGUCUCUCCCGUUGGGUUUGGGUUUUGCCCCGCCCCCGCCGGGGCACUCCUAGACUCACGCAUGUCCCUCAGGCCUGGGGCCAUCAUCGGGCUCGGUGCACGCGCACCAACAAUGGUGCACGUCACGGCCAUGUCCACGCCCUAGACAUCCAACUCACGCAUCCUAGCGCGACUCAAGCUGCCGAGCCAUCCACGUUAGCACCUGCAACGGCCACGUCCCCCCAUCAGUAGACAGGCGCAGGAGCGAAGAAUUGUCCACAGCUGCCGCGCUAUUCCGCACCACCUGUCUAGCACGCAUGGCCCACAGCCACCAAACACACAUGCUUGCCGGCUCAGCAGCAGCCGCAGUACAGCCUGCAUGGGGGCGGGGGGCGGGGUUGCAGUUGCUGUCGUGCCUGACCCAAACCGCAUCCUAGGGACAUGGGCGCUGAGUGCGGCUGAGUGUGCCGAGGGACGUGGCAGGUGCAGGUUUCAGGGUUCAGGUUUAGGGCUCGGCGCGCUGCAGGCGGAGGGCGACGUGGCGGCACAGCGCGCGGCGGCGGUGGUGGCGACCGUACUGAGCCACGCAGUGCUGCCACCAUGUUUCCAGUAGACGUGGGCGCUGAGUACUGGCGACUGGGUAGCGGGAACGGCGCGACUGGUGAGCCUGAGAGCUGCUAUUGGUACAAUGGACCUACUAGAGAGAUCUUGUCGACUGUAACCUUGUGCAGCGACAGCAUGAUGUCCACACCUGCGAAUGUCUCAUCAGAGGUCGGAGCCCCCCACCCCCCCACACACACACACCACGCUAAAGAAAGUAGCAUUUGUUUGGCCCUGGGUGCCGUGGGUGAGAACGUGGCAAAGCUCUUCUCGCCAGUGGUGGUGGCCGAGGUGGCCUAACCCCGGAAGAUCUUUUUCUGGGUGCUACUUUGGGUGGUCUGGCUUUCCUGACACGGGCUGUUUCAGAGCCGCUCAGUCUCUGGAGGGAUCUGCACAGGCCCUCUGGAGGGCUCUGAAGGGCUCUGGAGGGCUCUGGAGGGCUCUGAAGGGCUCUAAAGCGCUCUAAAGGGCUCUGAAGCGCUCUGAAGGGCUCUGUAGGGCUCUGGAGGCUGGUAACCGAGAAGGCCCCGAUGCGACCGCAAGGGCUCCGCCCGAAGGGGCAAGGGGCAAGCCAACACGAGCACCGCCUGUGCGCCCGGCCGCCCUGCAUGCUGGGCGGGCCAGUACCCUGUUGGCCCACUAUCCAGUUGCGAAGGCCGCGGCAACCCACAAAAUGCCGACAGCCAGUUAAGGAGUUGACAAACUCCAGAUGUUGAAUGUUGGGCAGGUCCGGCACCGCCGCACAGCUCAAUCUCGCACACCUAAUCCCCCCCAUAUCUUAUUACUGUAACUGUAACACCUACCAUGAGGCACAAAGCCCAAGCCUAGGCGUUCACAGACCGCAAGCACUUACUGGCAUACACCACCAGCCCAUGUACCCCGCAGCUCGUUAGCACCUCCAUUAGCUGCGAGGGGAAGGCACGGAUGCCACGUCACGCUGGCCAAACUGUUGAACCGGGCCCGAUGGGCCCAUCGCUUAGGCCCCAUCUGCCAAUCCCAGCGCCGAGUUGGGGUUGGGGUCCGCUUCCUGCUGCUUCCUUGUCCUUCCAGACAAGCCUUAACCACCCCAUGCAUUUGCACACCACCAGCCGCCGCCGCGCCACCAGCCGCCGCCGCGCCACCAGCCGCCGCCGCCGCCGCCUCAAAGCCGCCGUGGAAGACGCCAACACCUCCACUGCCACCGGCGCCUGCGCACGUGAAAGGGAAGAGGGUGCGGGGCGGUGUGGAGGGCGGCAAGGUGUCUAGGACACGGGCGGCGGCAUGACGGGCACAACACGCGCAUCACCAACACCCCACAAACAACACAAGCCGCACCACCCACCUCCAGGGUGCGCCUCGCGAGUACUGCUGGCCGUCACCAUGCCGGCCACCGCACCGCCGUGGGAAGCACCGACCACGCUGCCGCCGGGUUCUGCGGCGGCGUCAGUAGCAAGUCAGCACCAAGUGCUGCAGCCAACAAGUGCUGACGGCCAACCGUGGGCGCUGCACCACGGCAGGGGUGGCUUACCGUCGCUGUCCGCAAUGACAAUGGCCGGGGCUUGACAGGUCAGGGUUCCAGGCUGGCUCGUCCUCGCUUUAUACCGCUGCACCAAGCCCACGGCCCCCUUCGCAGCCCACGCGCCCUCACCACCGCCCCUACCCCCCGCCGCAGCCCAGCCCCGUCCCUGCCGCAGUCCAAGCCCCCCUCCGCGGCCCCGCCACACCGCAGCCCACGCCCACGCCCCAACGCCCACACCCCUCUCCCUGCCCCCUGCCCUGUCCCCCACGCAUCUCCCUGCGCGCUCUCCUUCCCCUCUCCCCCUGCGCUCCCCCUGCUGCGCGCAGUCGAGUUUCCAAAGCUGGACUCACCGUCGCUUCGUACGACUGCAGUGUCGGCAGCUGCGCCGGCCCGCCAGCGGCGUGCAGGGCGCCCUGCAGGAGUUCGCCAAACCCGCCGUCGUCCUCCUCCUCCUCCGCUUCCCCCUCCUCCGCUUCCUCCUCCUCCUCCCCUGCCGCCGCCCCUGCCGCCUGCUUCUGCUCCAUGCCCCACGCCUCCUGCGCGUCCUCCCAGGUGUCGCCCCCGCUGGCGUCGUCGCUUAGCUUGCUGCUCGCCGCGCCUGCCAUGCAGAGGAGCCCAGCUUCGCGUCAUCGACCAGGCGCGAGGUGGCCUCUUGCUGCCAGUCUUCUUCCUCGCUGUCCCAGUCAUGGAGGUCCCUCAGCAGGCUGGGCGAGGCCUCGCUGAGCUCCGAGUCGCAGUCGCUCAGCACUUCGGAGUGGCAAUGCAGCGAGGGCGCCCUGGGUGGGCUUGAGGCCUAAGACAUGCUAAUUAGCUGUGUGAAUGCUCACGGUGCCAGGUUGGAGCUGACUUUGCGAUGUUGCGUUGUGAUCGAGGUCAGCGCUGGUCUUUCGCAACAGCGACUAGCUCGUUGGGGUGCGUUCAUGCUCUGUAUGGCAGCAGAAUUACCUCUGGCGUGUUUGCGUGAACAAGUUUGCCAAGCUGCUCGUCCCCCGAGGGUGUCGUACCGGGGCCGGGGGGGGGGGCGACAUUUGCACACUGCUAUAACGUCUGCGCUUUUUGGUGGUGGCCAGUGCAUUCAUCCUAUAAAGUCUGCGUGGAAAGAGCCCAAUGGUAUCGAGGACGGCAGUUGAGGAUGCUGUUCGCAAUGUGGUCCAGGGCCCAGAACGAGGAGACCUGCUGUUCUUUGUCGGGGAGCAAACUGAUGAGCAACUGAGCCAGUGGAGGAUCCUGGACACAGACGGCGAUUCAGCAAUUGUCGCCUUCGUGAGGCGGAAGGCCCAAGGUGCGUUGCCGGAUGCAGCGUCCUCAGUUCGGGCAUAUGAUUUUGAACGCGGCUGAGCUACCGCGAAGAGUCCGCGGCGUAGGUUUGCACUUGUGGGAUCUCACUGGUGCGUGUCCCAGCAUCGGAGUGUGGAGAGCCAGGUGACAGCGGAUGCGGACCAGGGGAGUUCAAGAGGCUGGCACCGCCUGGGCUCAAAAUGUCGAUAACUGUCUGCAUCCGCCGGAUCCUCGCGACCCUCCGGCUCUGGCCCUUAUUGGCGGGGCGUGAUUUGUUCCGCCCUGGCGAUGCUGAUUACCUGCAUUGCCUUUUAAUCGCUCUCACGUCGUGCAGGCGCGGUGGCUGGCGUGGGCAUGACAAGAACUGGUGAGUGGGGCGAUGCGCGGAGAGUAGUGGCUGGUCACGACACGCCGCGGCUCAGAGGGUGGCCGCUGGACGGCGGUGGUGCACAUUGAGGUUGGGGGCGGACACCCGAUUUGUUUGGCGGUUGAGAUGCUGCACGCUGUCCCUCCCCGUUCACCAGACCGCAUCGGGCACGUGCAGCGCCGCCGUUCCAAUCUGCGCAUGCCUUUCGUUCAUGUCUUCACUUCGUUUGCAUCUGUGUUUCGGUCGCUUUCAGGUGAUGCAGGCGCGGCGGCUGGCCUGGGCGUGGGGAGCGCGGCAGGGGCCGGUGAGUUAGUGUGUUGCGCGGGCCCAAGGGAAUUCUCACUAGCGGCUUGUGCACAUCAGCGGCUUGGCACCACAUGACACUGGCUGGCGUGUGUACCCUCGUCGAGUUGGGGGUCGCGUCUCACAUCAAACGAACCCGGUGUGCUUGCCCUCCUGCUGUGCAGGCACGGCUGCCGGUGAGGAUGCUGUGGGGGUCUCUACCGGUGAGAUUGCUGGGCUUGUCAACGCCAAGCUCAAGCCUGCACGCGCGGAUCUCAUUAUCAGAGCGCUCAACGCGCAACUUGGGUUGAGGAUGCGGCUGGGCACCAAGCAGAGUUGCGUUUUUGUUGCGGUCCUGGAAUACGCAGGAUACCUGGUUCUGAGGCUUACGUCGUGUUGCUUGCUAUGCAGGUCAACACAACCAGGCCGCGCUGAGUGAGUGGCCUUCCGUUGUCGGAAGGUUUUGAGAGCUCCAAAGUUGGCAUGAUUUCCACGGGUGUCUAAACAUUUUCUCCCUGUAUGGUUGCAGUUCCGGACACCAGCGGCGCGUACUUCCGUCGGGUCAUGGCGGCACAAUUUCUGGACUCUGGCAGCACCAGCGUUGACAACGGCGGCCUCCUCGGCAUGCGGCACCGGCAGUUCUACCUUGACCAGCCGCUCGGUGCCUUGCUGCCGGUGUCAAGUGCUGCCCAGGAGGCCAUCCUGCACGACAGCGACCUGCUCAAAUACGUCGCCGUGGAGCCCGACGGCGGGUCCGUCCGCACGUUCGGCCAAAUGGUAACGCAUGCCCUGAUGGGAUGGCAUGACGUGCAGCUCGCCAGCUCAGAGACCGCGACCUCGUUCAAGACGCAGCUUCUCGUGGGCAUACCGCUCUCGUAUGCCCUUGGGCGGUUGGGUCUGCACUUCCGUAUCGACCGCAACGCGGCAGACCCCUCCGGUGACACAAGUGAGUUCAGCGUUUGCACGGCUGCCGCGUGUCAGCUAUCGCAGCCCUGCCCACGUGGUGCCCAGCUCCACGGGCGUAGUCCUUGCCCCUUGACACUUGCAUCGCGCUGCUCCUUGCCCCUGGACAGCGAAGCGGCUCCGCCCGGACUUCCUGUGCUGGAUCCGGAACGCCCUGCUUCUCAAGGGGGAGGAGAAAGCGAACGAGUCGGCGCUGCAGGUGCGAGAUUCUCGCAUCGGUACAGCAGUGCACGCAUGCGGUACUUCAUUCGGGAACCCAAGAACGAUCGUAGGCGGGGGACGUGUAUCACUGCUAUGAGUAAGGAGGGAGCCAAAAGGCAAAUGCGUAGGAGCUGGGAGGAGCCCGGGGGCCUAAGGAAUUGUGACCGUGACGCCCCAGCGAACCUGUUGGCUUGUCCCACCCAGCCCAGAAGGUUGUAGAGAGUGUUGGCACAUUCUGGCUGGUAAGCGUUACACAUGCGAUGUAAUCACUCAGCGGCGGGGCAAAAUAACAGCUGCGACAUGUUGAACGAGCCUGGGUGGUAAGGAGCAAAUUGACACGGUGUGGGGCCACACGCGGGAAUUAUGUGGUUCACCAAAGUUGCGCGCGCGGUAUGCCAUGUGUACAGGAGGCCAACCGAGAGCUGACGUCGAAGAUGGCAACGUCAUGGUAACUAUCAGCAUAUUGCCUUGGUGCCGAGCUGCAAGUGCAACUUCGUCAUUAUGAGUGCUGUAUAAUGUUGUAUUGGCAGGAGGCCCGGACUACUGCCGGGCGUCAGCAUGCCUUGCAUGAUGGCUUACACUGCUGCCGGCAACCUGAUGCAGUUCUUCGCCAUCACCGAGAGGUGAGGCAGGGGUUGGUUGUGAGCACGCGCAGCGAUAGGCAUGGGGCAUGGGGGAUUAGGGGUUGUGCGGGGUGCUGGCGUCUGCCAUCAACGGUAGCCGCAGCAACGACAUGCUCACGCCUCAAACCUUGCAUGUGCAGCAGCGGCGGCGGUGGUGUGGAGGCGUGGCCCAUCAGCGAGCUCUUGGACAUCAGCCGGCCCCUCGGCCGCAUCAAGGUCGUGCACCACACCCUGCAUAUCGCGCGGUUGCUGGCGGCAUAUGCCCCACUGGCGCCGCCGCAGCUGUCCAUCGCCCUCGGCGGCAUGAUCCAGUCUAAGGGACUCGGCGGAAGGCUCCUGGGCAAUGUGAUGCUGUUUGGCGGUACGUAUUAUUGCGCCAUCACACAUUGCAGCUGAGUACUCACGAAUUUUCACGCUGGCCGCAGACUUCGUGCAAAAACGCGCCUUCGAGUACCUGCGGCAGCCUGGCGUCGUUCUGGACUUCAGCACGCUUGUGGUGGGUCAGGCGUGUCCACGUCGUUGGUUUGGUUGGUUUAAUUCGUUGGUUGGUUUGGCGCACGGUCUCUCUGUAUACGGUGGCGUGAUAGUGUACCUUGCCCUCGCGCACUGGCUGCGCAUAGGCAGAAUGCUUGCGAGGAAUUAAUAUCCGUCGUGGUAUUGGCGCGCACAGGAGCUGUACACUGCCACCGGUCGGGAGCUGUGCGCAAACCUGGUGCGCCUGCACCAAGGCGCCAUCCGCAUGGAGGGCACGACGUUGGUGCUGCACUUGGAACCCGUGGGCUUGCCACUGGAUGCUCCCCCAGCGGACGAGGCCACUCUCAAGGAGGCUAUCCGGGGCGUGCUCCUGGGCAUCGCGGCACUACAUAGGGCAGGUGUGGUGCGUGGUGCGUGGCUGCAACGAUCGCCUACUGUUCGCGUGUGGUGCUGUGUACUGCCGUCAUUUAUUAAUGUCGACGCGGCUGCGGAUGGCGGAGGGGGGAGUUUUUUGUAUACCCCUUCUGUCUGCUUUGCAUGUACAGGCUUCGUGCACCGGGACGUCCGCUGGCGGAACGUGAUUCGCGUGCCGGAGUUGCGGUCUUCAGGUUCGCUGAGCACGUACGUGCUGAUCGACCUGGAGCACGCAGGUAUGGCUGGGCUGACGGCGUGGGGCGUGCCUGUAGUGCAUGUGCGCGUGACGCUGCGCUGAGCGAGAGGCGCUGGUGCUGUGGUGCAGGCCACUUGAAAAGAGAACGGCUUUCCUUCCCACCCCCUCUUUUCGGCCUCCAAUAUCUCAUUCCUCUUUCCUCAACAGCACGCGCCGAUUGCGCCGUGGAUUGCCGCGAGCCUGACUUCCGGCUGGGGUCGUGGCCGAGCGAGGACAUGCUGGAGUCGGGGAGCGGCCGCUACACGCCCGCCUCCGACCUGUGCUUGGUGGCGUACCUGAUGAUGUGCAUUCCGCUAAGCCAGAGCGGCCAGCGCCUGCAGCAGGCCCUGGCCGCCCGGCAAGUGCCGAGCGCCGAGGCUGCCCUGCAGCACGAGUGGCUGUCGCUGCACGCGGCGUAGCCCAUCGCCACCGCCCUGGUCGUGGAGCUGCGGAGACACUAAGGUGCGGAAGUCCAUGCGAGUUCGACCGAGGCAUGAAUGGGCACACACGACCCCAUGGGUGCCGACGCCCCGCACAGACAGCAGACAAACGCAAAUUGAAGUCGGCUUUUCAUAGCACCUCGCCCUAGGGUGUAAGAAUGCGUGUAUAAGGUUUGCCCUCAAGUCCGUCGCGCCAUGAGUGAGAGCAGCUUUGCCGCGGUGGCCCCUUACACCCUGCCGUGAACAUUGUGCAAAAGCAUGCAGCCAGUGCUUGCUACUAGUGUCGGUUUCAUUGUGCGCGGACCCUUGUUGGGGCGCGCCCCCACACAUGUGUACCUACUUUGGCGCUUCGGGGUCCCCGCCGCUUGCGUAUGUGAUAGCUGCCUUGCCUAUUGAGUCACCUGGGGUGGGUGCGGCGAGAAGGGUGCGAGUGUGAGCGGACAUGCGCAAAGAUGUCAAGGUGGGUGUUGUAUUCUGAGCGCGCACGCGCCUGGCGCCCCGCAUGCGCGUUAAGUUGGGGCUAUUGGGCAUAUGUGCCGGGCGCGGGGCUGCGCAUCAGGGCGCCGAGGCCCAACAUCGGGUCUGCCGCAUGGGGUGUCCGAAUGCGCGGGAGGCCCCAAAACGUGCCGCGGCGAAACGCUCCACACAAAGUUGCCUUACAAGCUCAAUUUAAAAUCAAAUCCGAUAAGGCUAUUGCUGUUGAAGUAUAUGACACGGUAGGAAGGCGCUUAAAAAGGAUAGCCGCUGAAUCACUACCGACAUUCGACGCCCGGCCCCGACGGUCGCAACUCUCGAACUCGCACGGACUUCCGCACCUUAGUGCCACUGUCGCCCAAGCGUAGCAGCUUAUAACCAACUUGUCCUGCUUACAGGCCAUGCAGCAGGUGGACAGUAAUUUAAUCAGAGGACUGGAGAGUGAGUUGCGUCACGAGAAUCAGUGUAUCACGUGCAAACCAUGUCAGUAGUGUCGAAAGCUGACGAACCAUAGGGCCGUCGUCAUGCCUCCGUCUCCACGUCACCGGUACCAUACACUUGCACACAACCACACACGCAUGCGCUCACACGUAUACACACUCGCACACACACACACACACACACCUACAUUCACAAAUACACACACACACCUACAUUCACACAUACACACACACACAUUCUUACACACACGACCACGCGCGCGCGUGCGUUCGCAGGUGCUGGUGCGGUCGGUGCUGUGCAACUGGCUGGUGUGCCUGGCCGUGUGGAUGGCGCUGGCGGCCAACAACCUGCCGGUGAGGGACCGAGGGGGCGGGGGGGGAGAGAGGGGCGGGGUGGGAGGAUGGCGGGGUGGGGCGGGGCGGGGCAUGGUGGAGCGUGGUGGGGCAUGGUGGGGCGGGUUGGAGUGUCCGGGUGCAAUCCCGAAUCAUUUGGGGCUCUAAACCCAACACCGGACCCGGGUCCCUGUCACAGCGGGUAGAGACGCAUGGCAGGCCGUAAGCGAACGAGGAAGGGGCAGAAAGGAGAGCCGGAAGAGCGCGAUAGCGAGUACUGACGGCCAUUUUGCAAAGCCAGGGCACGGCCACGUAGGCACGCAUCCUCCAUAUACCCACCCGUUACCGCAUACUCCAUUCCGCACGCCUUAACUUUCCUGCUACCGCUGCUUCCGGCGCUGUAUGCACGCAGGGCAAGCUGAUGGGGAUGUGGAUGCCCGUCACGGCCUUCGUAACGGUGGGCCUGGAGCACUCCAUCGCCAACAUGUGGGUCAUCCCCAUCGGCAUGGCACUGGGCGCGCCCGUGUCCGCGGGUGCCUUCCUUACAGCCAAUCUCAUCCCCGUGAGUGGCGGCGCGCUGGCAGGGCGGGUAGGGGGCUGGCAGGGCGGGUGGGGGGCUAGCAGGGCGGGUAGGGGGCUGGCAGAAGCGGCUGAGGGCUUCUCUUCUGGGGCAAAAGGGGCAAGAGUUGGCAGCUGGGUCUGCAGCGGACCUCCUGCCGGACAGUGCCCGCCACUGCAGCCGUGCCUGCGCCCCCGAGCACACAAGCUCCUGUGUCUGCCUCAUGCGGCCGGUGCAGGUGACCCUGGGCAACGUGUUUGCGGGCGCGGUGCUGACCGCCGGCUCCUACUCGCUGGCCUUCGGGCGGCUGGGCGCGGCCUUCAACGGCGAGGCCGCCAAGUGAGAGGCCCGCAGUGGCGGGCAGCGGCGGCGGGCAGUAGCAGCUGGGGCCCGCAGUGGCUGGCAGUGGCGGCGGGCGGUAGCAGUAGCAGCUGCAGCUGCAGUUGCAGGCAGGCGUCAGAGCUACCCGGAAGCUUGAGCUGCAGCGGCGGCUGCAGCAGCGGAAUUUCGAGGAGGGUCACGGUGCACAAGAGAGGUUUCGAACAGAGCGGCAUAGCCGAGCUGCUUGUAUGAGAGCGCUUGGCUUGGGGUGCGCGGGGGGCGGGCCCGCCGCUGCGCUAUAAAAGGCAGCGUCGCCGGGGGCGGUGAGCAAGAUGUGUGUUGCGUGUCGGUAUGGCGGUGUUUGUUGUGGUAAUGGAGGGAAGCAUUGGGGAUACUAGAGCGCACCAACAUGGGCGGCUUAAUCGGCCCGUCGGCCAGAAAUGGGGAGUGGCUGAAGAUGUAAUAACGUAGCACUACGGGGCGUAAGUGAGUCCAAGUGCGCAUCGUCCGUGCGCUGCAUGGAGAUGACCGCAGGGGUGGCCGCGUCGUACUGCCGGCAGUGCUGUUGUUAAUACGGUGUAGGUGCGUCGAGCAGGUGCCCUUCUUGCUAUGUUCGUGAGUGAUUGUGUGGUCAGAAAGAUUGCGGUUAAUAAUGCUUGUUUGCGGAGGGGUUACAGAAUGCGACAGCUGCGAGUUGAGGGGGGCACACGGCGUGUCCAGCAAAUGGCACGGCUACGGACGGGCAUCUGUGCGGCAAGGCGCGGCCUCACAGGCUCCCAGACAGGAAUAAGGCAGUGAUGAGUUCCAAAUGCCACCUACCACUUGCCAGCCAGAUGCCUCGCACGUGCCGUGUCUGUUGGUUGUGCUGCUGCUUGCUGCCUAGCUCAGCCCGGGCGUGAUGUGCGUAAGGCUGUAAUUUUGAGUGACGAGGGCACAUAAGGAAGUAGGUUCGAGUCGUGAGC